rnacentral:rRNA from 1 species
GACGAACGCUGGCGGCGUGCUUAACACAUGCAAGUCGAACGGGAUCCAUGGGAGCUUGCUCCCGGAAGAUCUAGUGGCGAACGGGUGAGUAACACGUGAGGAACCUGCCCUUCACUGGGGAAUAACUCGGGGAAACUCGAGCUAAUACCGCAUACCUUCCACUGGUCGCAUGGCCGGCGGAAGAAAGAUUUAUCGGUGAUGGAGGGCCUCGCGGCCUAUCAGCUUGUUGGUGGGGUAACGGCCCACCAAGGCAACGACGGGUAGCUGGUCUGAGAGGACGAUCAGCCACACUGGAACUGAGACACGGUCCAGACUCCUACGGGAGGCAGCAGUGGGGAAUCUUGCGCAAUGGGCGAAAGCCUGACGCAGCAACGCCGCGUGCGGGAUGACAGCCUUCGUGGUUGUAAACCGCUAUCAGCAGGGACGAAAAUGACGGUACCUGCAGAAGAAGCUCCGGCUAACUACGUGCCAGCCGCCGCAGUAA